GGCUAACGCUGGCGGCGUGUCUUAGCCAUGCAAGUCGAGCGGACUUAUGGGGUAACUUAUAAGUCAGCGGCGGACGGCGGAGUAACACGUAGCUAACCUACCCUCUGGACGGGGAUAACCUACCGAAAGGUGGGCUAAUACCCGAUGUAGUCAUCCUGUAUAGGGGUGAUGAAAGGUGGGCUUCUGUUUACAAGCUCAUGCUGGAGGAGGGGGCUGCGGCCUAUCAGGUAGUUGGUAGGGUAAUAGCCUACCAAGCCGAUGACGGGUAGCCGGCCUGAGAGGGUGACCGGCCCGAGGGGCACUGAGAUACGGGUCCCACUCCUACGGGAGGCAGCAGGCUAGAAAUUGGGCAAUGGGGGAAACCCUGACCCAGUGACGCCGCGUGCAGGAAGGAGCCCUUCGGGGUGUAAACUGCUGUCGUGUAGGGAGAAGGGUACUAAGGUGAACAAUCUUAGUACUUGACGGUACUACAGGAGGAAGCCCAGGCUAACCUCGUG
rnacentral:rRNA from 1 species